UUAGCUUUGAAAAAAGAUAAUUAUAAUAGUCUGGGAAAAAAAAGGUACCGUAGCGACAUCCUAGAGUCCUAGUUGUCGUGUUUGGAUUCCCCAGUUCGUAUCUUGCGGGCGUUUUCGAAACCAAGCAGUUUAUCGCUCAUUGUGAGAAUUCGUACAUAUAGAUGUUUAAUUUUAUAUCGAUUAGAUACUGGAUUGUUCUUGUACGGGAUAAAAAAAGGAUCCAAACAGGCUAAUUUUUUUGGGUAAGAUCUUGGAUUGAAAGUCCGCGUGGAUCACGUUCACACCCAGAUAGGCGACUUUUGGUUGCAGGAGACAGAGAUAUAGCGAGCGGGCGACGACGGGAGGAGAGACCGAGAGGACGGGAAUGGGGAUGGAGGAGCGAGAGAGGGCGGCCAGGGACUGGCUGGAGGGCAUCAUCGCGAAGGGCCAAAGCCAAGACGCCGGCGGCGAGGCGGUGUGGAAAGGCGGCUUCUUCGACGCCCUCUCCCUCUCCGGCCUCCGGAUCUCCCGCGCCCAGGCCGGCCGAGCCCUCUGCUCCUUCCGCGUCCCCGCCCACCUCACCGACGGGGAGGGCAAUUGGCAGGCCGGGGCGAUCGGGACGGUGAUGGACGACGUGGGGGCGGCGGCCAUCAUGACCACCGAGGGCCUCAUCAAGGUCUCCGUCCAGUUCGACAUCUCCUACUUCUCCCCUGUCCGCGCCAACGAAGAGGUGGAGAUCGACGCACGGAUUGUGGAGCACAAAGGAGCCAGAAGGCUGACGGCGGUGGUGGUGGAGAUACGGAAGAAGGGGAACGGACAGAUGGUGGCCGUGGGAAGGCAGUGGAUGACAUCUGGUCGCCCCUUCCACAGCAAACUAUAACAAUCUUAUUAUCAAGAACGAAAAACUAGAGCAAGCAUAGCAAAUAUAGUUGUCAAGAUGCUACGUGCGUUUCGAGAUUCUGCACGAUACUUGGAGAACAAAUGGACAAGUAUUUCAAAAAACUCAUUAAAAUUCAAGUGCAAGAGCGGAGGAAUGAGAGAGAGAACAGAAAACAAAGAAGAAAGGAAAAGAAAAGGAGCAAGAAAACAGAAGGAUCAAUACAAGGUUAGAAAUAUAUUCAUUGCCCCAAACGCUAUCAAUGCCUUUUUAAUUGUCAAUAACAUAAAUCUACAACCCCUGAUUAUCAUGGGGUGGUGAUGUUCCAAACUCGCUACCUUGGAUGAAAUAUCAAGGAAAUCAAAUUUUCCAUAA